rnacentral:lncRNA from 1 species
GCCAUUUGACGAGCCAUAAACUCUUCAUUCUGACGAGCCAUAAACUCUUCAUUCUGACGAGCCAUCGCCUCAUUCUGACGAGCCAUCGCUCUCUCGACAGCCUCGUUGACCUUAUCUUGAACCUCUGCUUCGGUCAUUGCAUCUUUUCCUUUGUCCCUACAGAAGUUCCCCACAUUCAUCCGAUGCGUUGUCUUUUUGCUCAAUGAGGAACCAGUUGUUCCUAAUAUUCUUGAUUUCUUCGAGCUUCGAC